rnacentral:rRNA from 1 species
GAUGAACGCUAGCGGCAGGCUUAAUACAUGCAAGUCGAACGGUAAGGUCUCUUCGGAGAUACACGAGUGGCGCACGGGUGCGUAACGCGUAUGCAACCUACCUUUAACUGGGAAAUAGCCCCGAGAAAUCGGGAUUAAUGUCCCAUAUUAUUCUUUGAAUACCUAUUCGAGGAAUGAAAGCUCCGGCGGUUAUUGAUGGGCAUGCGUGACAUUAGCUAGUUGGUGAGGUAACGGCUCACAAAGGCAACGAUGUCUAGGGGUACUGAGAGGGUUAACCCCCACGCUAGUACUGGGACACGGACCAGACGACUACGGAAGGCAGCAGUAAGGAAUAUUGGGCAAUGGACGCAAGUCUGACCCAGCCAUGCCGCGUGAAGGAUGAAUGUCCUAUGGAUUGUAAACUUCGUUUAUGCAGGAAAAAUAUCCCGGUCGUGAACCGGGACUGAUGGUACUGUAUGAAUAAGCAUCGGCUAACUCCGUGCCAGCAGCCGCGGUAA